UUCAAAUUUAAAAAAAUUCAUUAUUUAAAAUAAAUUUCUCUUUUUUAAUUAUGUGCAAUAAUUUUAAAAAUAUUUCCCAUAUAUGUGCUACUUUUUUGAAUGCAAAUUAAAUUUUUGAAUGGGCUGAAUGCGUUUUUUGAUAUCUGGAAAAUUGCACAAUCAUGACGGAACCACAAAUCUAAAUUGCUAAAUCAAGUCCGGACGCCAAUGGGCUGUGCGAAUGGAUGGUUGGGAUUGCAAAGACAAAUAGUCAAUUAAUAUUUUACACUAUUGAUUGCAUUUAAUUAUAUUGUUGGUUUAAGGUGAAAACGAAAUAUGGAAUCGUUGAACUGACAUUGACAGUUGACAGCUGUCGAAAUUUCCAAAGUAUAUUCAAUUAAACUGCUAUUGAUUUUGUUUGUGCUAAUGAUAAGAGUGUGAGCUAGACGGGGAAAGAGCAAAAGAGAGCGAGGAAAAGAGAGAGAGAGAGAGAGAAGACAAAGCGCGGGUCAAUAGGCAGGACAAGGACAUGAAAAGAAGUUCAAAGCUCAAGGAAAUUUCAAAUCGAUCAAAAUGCUCACAUAUCGAUCCAAAGUCCCAAACAGAUGCGACGCCUAAUUUGUGUCUAACCUGGAACUUGUGACAUGCCGUGUGGCACCGCCGCGGGAGUCGGCUCGUCGACCCGUCGGCAAGGACAAUAGUUAUAAAUGAGAAUGGUACACACACCCACACACGCAGGAAAAUCAAGUCUGGGUUCUCUGGUUUCUAUAGUCUGCGCACAUUGCAAUUGUUAAACAGGUUAUAUUAGUGACUCUAACGAUUACAUCUAUAAAUAUAUCAAAAAUCCUUCCAAUGUCUGGGUCUCGAUAACUAAAA